UUGAAUUGUGAUAAUUUAAUUGUGAUGUUAGAUUAGGUUAGUUGGUUGGUCAUUAGCGAUAUUAUAAUGUUUCCUUGAGAUUUCUGGAUUGUUAUUGUGUUUGCCACUCUGAUUUGGCUCAAUAUUUAAUUUGUCGUGUGCUUGCGAUUGGGUAUACGCUUAGUUGCCGAAUCGGUGUUUAAUCUUCGCUUAGUUGAUUAGACCGUAUGGUGCAUGACUGAUUAAAUUUGUGCAUUGUAUUUGCUUAGUUUGCAAUUUGAAGACCGAAUUAGCCUUCGCUUAGUUGGGUGAUUCGUGUCAGAUUUGGAUUAGAGUAAUGUGUACUUGUCGUUAAUCUGUGAUUGGAAGCACAGUAAUUGAGUUAAU
rnacentral:lncRNA from 1 species